rnacentral:rRNA from 1 species
UACGGGGGGGGCAAGCGUUGUUCGGAAUUACUGGGCGUAAAGGGCUCGUAGGUGGCCAACUAAGUCGGACGUGAAAUCCCUCGGCUUAACCGGGGAACUGCGUCCGAUACUGGUUGGCUUGAGUUUGGGAGAGGGAUGCGGAAUUCCAGGUGUAGCGGUGAAAUGCGUAGAUAUCUGGAGGAACACCGGUGGCGAAGGCGACAUCCUGGACCGGUAUUGACGCUGAGGCGCGAAAGCCAGGGGAGCAAACGGG